GUGAAAACUCGAAAGGUGGCAAUGAAGGUCUGUGGUUUGGUUUUAACAUUCGGUCCUGCUUGGAGUCUGGUUUGCAGACUUGGCCCAAGUGCAGAUUUAUAUGCAUUGCAUAGCCAACUUCGCUCUGCAGAGGGAAGUCUGAGGGGAACCACAGAACCUACAUGACUGAAAAAUAGCCGUGCAGGACACAUUGGUGACAGAAGCCUCAAAAAGGACACAAACCACGAAGGCAGUGAUGAUGACAAAGAAACAGAGCUGGAAUGGAACUCCCAGCUUGCUGUCAGGCCCGUCGCCGCUCCCCAUCCAUGGCAUCACUGAGCACAGGCUGAAAGAGCAGCGUGUGCUUUUGAUCAUGGGUAAUAACAUACAGUCAUCUCUGAUUGGUGUGCAUCAUUCCUGCAUAGUUUCUCUAGGAAAAAAAUUGUGCGGAAAUGGAUGCGACUUCUCUCUUGGGCGUUUGGAGUUGCUAGAGAGUGGAGAGGCCAUGUGGCCUCGAGGAGCUCACGGGCAGGACUGCCCCAUCUCUGGGAGCCUUUGUUUGUACCUCUGCAUUGUGAUCUCACAUGCACUCAACUUCCAGGCUUCUUCCGAAGAUAACAAGGUCCUCUGGCUUUUCCUGACUUGUGUAGGCAUGCACAAUCCAUUGUUUGGCAUGCAGUUAUUAUUGACUUGGGAACCUAAUGGGAAAGUUGUAACUGACCCAGGUGGCGUCUCAAACAGAAUGAUGUGUACCACUGCAGCAUCGAACUCGAAGAAGACGUCAGAAGACAAAACACCAUCCAUGUUGACCAAAGCUUAAAAUCCAAGGCCUGGGGCCUCCUUCCAAAGGACUCUCAGCAACCCGGGACAAUAGCUGCGAUAACCAACCUGGAGUAAGAACAGCUCCUGGCCUCGAGCAGGGCCUCGUCCAUUAACACAGCUAGCUCAUCACUCGGAUAGUUACAUUUUAAGUCCAUCUCACAGAACUUAAUGUCUCCAUUGCUGGACAUAGCACAUUUUCCCUGUGUUAGCUGUGGAACUUUAGCAAGUUACCUAGCCCAUAUAUACCUUGGUAUUCUUAUCUGAAAAACAGGUAAAAUAUUAGCAUCUACUUGAUAUGACGGAGAGUAAAGUAUAAUACUCACUAAGGGCUAGUUUUAAUAGUUUAAUUAAUUCAUUACCUAAUAAUUAAUUGAUUUGAAACAUAGAGAACACAAGAAUACACACACACACACACACACAUACAUCCACACACACACACACACACACAGAAUGAACUCUCAUCUGCUGGUUCACUCCUCAAAUGCCUGCAAUUGCUGGGGCUGGACCAGGGCUAAAAUCAGGAGCCAAGAAUGAAAUCCAAGUCUCCCAUGUGGGUGGCAGGGACCGAAGUACUUGAGUCAUACCUGCUUCUUCCCAGGUUGGGCAUUCACAGGAAGCUGGAAUAGGAAGCAUAGUCGGAGUUUGAACCGAGACACUCUGAUAUGGGAUACAGGUGUCUCAAGUGGCACCUUAACCACUAGAUCAAAUGCCAGUCCUUUAAUAUGAUCUGUGUUAUUAUUCUAAGAAGAAAUAUUGCCCUGUGAUAACUCAUACCAGGUUGUAAGUAUAUUCAAUAAACUCACAUGAAUACAUUUAAUUACA
ensembl:lncRNA